rnacentral:rRNA from 1 species
CACCGCCCGUCACAUCACGAAAGUGGGUUGUACUAGAAGCGGCAGAGCUAACCCGUAAGGGGGCAUGUCUCUACGGUAUGAUUCAUGAUUGGGGUG